GACGAACGCUGGCGGCGUACCUAAUACAUGCAAGUCGAGCGGACUUUCAAGAAGCUUGCUUUUUGAAAGUUAGCGGCGGACGGGUGAGUAACACGUGGGCAACCUGCCUGUAAGACGGGGAUAACUCCGGGAAACCGGGGCUAAUACCGGAUAAUAUCUUUCUUCGCAUGAAGGAAGGUUGAAAGGCGGCGCAAGCUGCCGCCUGCAGAUGGGCCCGCGGCGCAUUAGCUAGUUGGUGAGGUAACGGCUCACCAAGGCGACGAUGCGUAGCCGACCUGAGAGGGUGAUCGGCCACACUGGGACUGAGACACGGCCCAGACUCCUACGGGAGGCAGCAGUAGGGAAUCUUCCGCAAUGGACGAAAGUCUGACGGAGCAACGCCGCGUGAGCGAAGAAGGUCUUCGGAUCGUAAAGCUCUGUUGUCAGGGAAGAACAAGUACCGUUCGAAUAGGGCGGUACCUUGACGGUACCUGACCAGAAAGCCACGACUAACUACGUGCCAGCCGCCGCAGUAA
rnacentral:rRNA from 1 species